CCCUGCCAUUUGUACACACCGCCCGUCGCUACUACCGAUUGAAUGGUUUAGUGAGGCCUCGGGACUAGCGCAGAAGGGCGGUCUCGUCCGUUCUGCGCCGGGAACUUGGUCAAACUUGAUCAUUUAGA
rnacentral:rRNA from 1 species